GCUCCUCCAAAAUUUGAAAGACUGUGAUUCAAACUUUUGCUUUUCCUAAAACAAAGUUAAAGAAAAUAUAUGAAGUCAAUGAUAAAUCUUAAAGUUUUACAAAGAUUAAUAAAUAGAAGUUAUUAAAUCUUGGUAGCUGAUCAUGCAGUGAAUUUGAGAAGGGCAUGCUUUCAAAUGUUAAGACUGCUCCCCUGAUUCCUA
rnacentral:lncRNA from 1 species